rnacentral:misc_RNA from 1 species
UAAUAAGUGUUUUAUGGCACUUUUUAAAUCCAUAUCCACCUUGUGUGCAAUGUUCAGUCGAUCUUCUUCAUGGAGAUCGACCAAACAUCAACCUUUAUCUUUUUAACUCUUUGUCUGAAAAAUAUUAUGAAUAAACAAUUCAAAAUA